rnacentral:tRNA from 1 species
GAUGGUAUAGCUCAGUGGACAGAGCGCCCUAUAUGUGGGAGACGGGAGAAAGGCCCGUGCGGCUGCAGCCGUGGCGCCGGUUCGAGUCCGGCCACCAUCA